UACAAAAACGCAAAGUGAGAAUAUUCAAUUUUAGCAAUUACUGUUGAAGAAUAAUGCCGUGUUUAUAUAGCUAAAUUAAAACUUGUAUACAGAUGCUCAGGGGAGGAGGGGUGUGAUUGCUCAUAGUUGUUGCAAAAGACUGAGGAACAAUGUAUAUCAAAUUUGCAGUUAAAAAAUGAAGGGAACAGAUUCCCACUGAAUUAUUCCUGUUACAGGAAUAUAAAACAACAACAAUCAUAACCUUUUUGCACUCAAAUCCAAAGAAGGAACUUCACUGAGUAAAUAAUUAAGAGCUCUGUAUGGAUGCUAAAUUCAGAUAUCCUUGAAGAUGGCAAACAAAUCUCCAUUGAUGUAAUCGUUGUCGACAAGGCUAACCAAGAAGUAACUGUUCUGAACCUGUGAACAAAAUGAAGAAGCCAUUUUAUUAGUCGACCAAGAGCUUACAAGUGAUAGUUUCACAUAUGGUCCGUCUAAGUACUAAAACUAUUUUUGCAUAAGUAAAAUAAGACAACUAUGCUUGUAUAUCAUUGGAAUUUCACAGAUGGUCCGUCUAAGUAAUAAAACUAUUUUUGCAAAAGUAAAAUAAGACAACUAUGCUUGUAUAUCAUUGGAAUUUAACAAAGUUGGAAUAUAUUAGAUUCGAUCUCGAAAACUGCAAGUAGGAUGCCACAUGUAUAAAAUUGAAAUAUAAGUAUUGUCACAUCAGCAACUCACCUUAAAUAAUCCAUGUGGCACCACAGGAAAAUCCGAAAACAUUUUUAAAAAAAACAUCUCUUGAUCCACUAAAAAAUCCAUGAUACGACACAUAAUGAAAGAGAUAAGGUAUUUGGUUGGGUGUGAAAAUAUGCUCUCCGGUUCUUUUUUGGAUGUGGUGCUGCAUGAAUAUUAUGUAAGGUGACCUGCAAGUUAGCAACCAACUUGUGUUUGCAAGACCAGAUUUUGCAUUUUCCAGCAUUUGUUUUUUUCUGUAAUAUAUAUGCAUAGUUGAGUCCAUUAUUAGUUUUAUGAUGUUGGUGCAAUAAGCUGAGAAUUGGAUGAGCAUCCAUGAAAUUAACUCAGCAAACAUAC
rnacentral:lncRNA from 1 species